CAUUGUUUACACUGGUAGUUUCAAAAAGGAAAUACUAUUUUACUGUUUUUCUACGGGGACUUUUACAGUAAUGAAGAAAUUCUUGACGGUUUAUCAGGACUGUGAAAUAGAAAACGGAUUGGAAAGAACAAAGCUUUGUUUGCAGGAGAGGCUGUAAAAUACCACUUCCCAGUUUCACUGUAAGCCCCUUUUAAGAAUUAGGAGGAUGCAACAAGGCAUACCCAGAGCCUUGUCUUCUUCAGCCUGAACAACCCCAACUCUCUCAACCGCUCUUUAAAGGACAGAUGCCCUGAUCCCUCUGAUCAUCUUGGGCCUUCCUCUGCACCUGCUCCAACAGGUCCAUAUCCUUGUGCUGGAGACUCCAGACCUUCAUGCAGUGCUUGAGGGUGAGCGGCAGACCUCAGACUUCAGCUGCAACACUGCAAACCCUCUGAAACCUCCUUGGAUUUAGACAAGACGAGAACUGAAGUGUCAAUUAAAGUGUCAAGAAGAUGUGUAUGUUCGCCAAUGAACUACAUUAAAGUACUUUCUGUAUCACUCAGUG